rnacentral:rRNA from 1 species
GAGGAAUAUUGGUCAAUGGGCGAGAGCCUGAACCAGCCAAGUAGCGUGCAGGAUGACGGCCCUCCGGGUUGUAAACUGCUUUUAGUUGGGAAUAAAAAAAGGGACUUGUCCCUUCUUGUAUGUACCUUCAGAAAAAGGACCGGCUAAUUCCGUGCCAGCAGCCGCGGUAAUACGGAAGGUCCAGGCGUUAUCCGGAUUUAUUGGGUUUAAAGGGAGCGUAGGCGGAUUGUUAAGUCAGCGGUUAAAGGGUGUGGCUCAACCAUGCAUUGCCGUUGAAACUGGCGAUCUUGAGUGCAGACAGGGAUGCCGGAAUUCGUGGUGUAGCGGUGAAAUGCUUAGAUAUCACGAAGAACUCCGAUCGCGAAGGCAGGUGUCCGGGCUGCAACUGACGCUGAGGCUCGAAAGUGUGGGUAUCAAACAGGAUUAGAUACCCUGGUAGUCCACACAGUAAACGAUGUAUACUCGCGGUUUGCGAUAGAUUGUAAGCCGCCAAGCGAAAGCAUUAAGUAUACCACCUGGGGAGUACGCCGGCAACGGUG